ensembl:lncRNA
AGUCACACGGCCCGCGGGCUCAGGAGGCGGGCUCAGCAGGCUCCUGGACAUGGCGGAAGGCGGAGGCUGGCAGCCACCACGCCCGUGUGAGGCCUACCGAGCGGAGUGGGAGCUGUGCCGCAGCGCCGGGCACUUCCUGCACCAUUACUACGUCCACGGGGAGAGGCCGGCCUGCGGGCAGUGGGGACGCGACCUGGCCAGCUGCCGCGAGUGGGAGGAGCGCCGCAGCGCCGAGGCCCAGCGGUCCCUCUGUGAAAGUGAGCGGGCGAGAGUCCGGGCUGCGCAGAAGCACCCCGUAGUGUGGACCCCCAGGCGGAGUCCCCCCACAGACUGGCACCUCCCUCUGCCUCAGGACAAGGAUGGGUGACACCCUCACAACUUUCUCCGCGGGACCGGCCUCAGCAGUCUGGUGGGUCCCUCCAGACACCAGAGCCCUGUCUCUAGCCUCACCCAUCCUCAUUUGUGUUCAGGGGGCCCGGCUUCUGCCCCCAGGAAGACAAGCACCACCACAUCUCCCUUUGGGCAAUGUGGCCAAGCCUGGGAACAGCAGCACAGGUGGUGGUUCUCCUGAGGUCUGGACUUCUCAGGCUGCUGGCCUGACCAUGGUUUGGUAAUGGCCACUCCCUCAGCUCCUUUGCAGUUGCGGGUAGGCUGGUAUUGCCUCCUCAGAUGAUGAAUAGGCCCCUUGGCCAUGGACUUUGCUCCAGAACACACAGUCUUGUGUUAAAAGGAUUCAUGGACUCUUGGCUUAAGACACCCAAGCCCAAAACACAUGGAAUUUUAGUCUCCUUCCUUCUGAAUUCCCCUGGUCAUUUUUAGAGUAUGGAAUAUAUCAAAAGACAUUUCACACGUGAUUCCCAAUAGCUGAAAAUUAAUCCACAGUUAAAUUGUUGAAAUGGUUAGAUUUGGUACCUGACACUGUUGUGCUCUGGCAGUAUUAGAUUUUUGUAUGCUUAGAUGUUUUUUGUUGUUGUUGUUGUUGUCUUUUUGCCAUUUCUUGGGCCGCUCCCACAGCAUAUGGAGGUUCCUAGGCUAGGGGUCUAAUCGGAGCUGUAGCUGCCAGCCUCCGUCAGAGCCAGAGCAACGCGGGAUCCGAGCCGCAUCUGCGACCUACACCACAGCUCACGGCAACGCCGGAUCGUUAACCCACUGAGCAAGGGCAGGGAUCGAACCCACAACCUCAUGGUUCCUAGUUGGAUUCUUUAACCACUGCGCCAUGACAGGAACUCCCUGCUUAGAUGUUUUUAAAUAUGUAUGUAUUUGAACCAACAAGAGCUCUAGGGAUUUUUUUGUUUUGUUUUCCUUUUAUGGCCGCACAUGAGGCAUAUGGAAGUUCCCAGGCUUUGGGUCGAAUUGGAGCCACAGCUGCAGGCCUACACCACAGCCACACCUAUACCACAGCCUUCAGCAAAGCUGAAUCCUUAAACCAGUGAGUGAGACCAGGGAUCGAACCCAUAUCCUCAGAGAGGCAGUGUCGACUUCUUAACUCACUGAGCCACAAAGGAAUUCUGAGAGUUCUAGUUCCUCAGAUGGUCUCUUCAUUACUAAUAAAAUGAUUUUCCUCUCUGGCUCCUUAGCAGGCCCCACUGUGUGCUGCUGCGGGCCAGGCCUGCUGCAUCUUGGUGCCUCCCUCAGGACUGGACCAUGGGGGUAGGUCAGACAUGAUGUAACUCGUUCCAUGGGGCAAAAUAAUCCAUCACUUCAGAAGGCCGUACAUUAAAGAAUAAAAUUUCCCAUUGUGUGUUUUCUCCUAUGCACCCUGAGAAUCCUCUGUGACUUGUGUGUGUACCUGUGAGUGGUGGGGUGUGGUGCACAGAGGACUCUGGAGCAGAGUUGAGUAUAAAGACCAGGAUCCCCCCAUCCCAGGGGAGGUCCCCGAUGUGUCUGAGGCAAAUGUGUCUGAAGUUCAUCCAUGGUGGCUGUGGCUGCCUUUCUGGGCGAGAAGGAAGAGGGCAGGUUGCCAGAGCUCUGAGUCCUCUGAAACAGGCUGCAGAGCUCUUCUUGCAGUUGGCACCUUGCCUGGAACUGCAGCAGUUGGUUUCCUGGGGUGGUAGCCAGGGCAGUGGUCCUAAGGGCUGUUUGUGCUCCCACCACUGCUUAUUUGGGGCCAUGGUGCCUGCCGUGAGGGCUCUCCCUCUUCCAAGACUCAGUGAGGUCCACCCCUCACAUCUGCACACUCGCUGGGCACGACUGGAGGCUCUGGUACCACAGGCUUGAAACAGACAAGUGGCCUCUGAGUCCAGUUGAGUUCUGGGGGCAGAUGUGAAAAUUCACAUGUCAGCUGUGAAGAAAACGGACAAAAUGACAAGGAAGAGAGGCAUCUUGCAAAACCUGGGACAAUGCCCACAGUAAUAAGUGUUUACGUUGUGACCAUGUUCGUCCUGUUGCUUAUAGUUCAUGUCACUGAGACAGGCUUCAGGAAACAGCACUCACCUGCUGCGGCGGCUCAGACUCCAAGAAUCUCACAGGACACAUGCUGCAUCAGUGGGGAUGGUUGUGAGGCCAGGGGUGGGGCGUGGGAGGAAGCGUCCUGUGGUGCCUGGACCUUGGGGGCGGGUUCCAUGUGGCUGCACUGUGAUGCAGCACACAUGAUUAUACACAAUGUCAGGAGUCUGGACAUGCUCUGGCUGCAGGGCCUGCCUGGGUGCUGACACCACAGGCUGUGUAAGAUGUGAUGCUGGGGAGGCAGGGAACCACAUGGCACCUCCCUUCAUGUUGAUUUCCAACCUCCUGUCAAUCCACGAUUACUUCUAAAUAAAAGGUUAAAAUAA